ACUAAAAUAGCAAAAACAAUGCAUAGGAUUUAGGUUCCUAAGAUGAAAUUAAAUAUUUCUUUUAGUA
rnacentral:tRNA from 1 species